UACGUAGGGUGCGAGCGUUGUCCGGAAUUAUUGGGCGUAAAGGGCUCGUAGGCGGUUUGUCGCGUCGGGAGUGAAAACCCAGGGCUUAACUCUGGGCUUGCUUUCGAUACGGGCAGACUAGAGGUAUGCAGGGGAGAACGGAAUUCCUGGUGUAGCGGUGAAAUGCGCAGAUAUCAGGAGGAACACCGGUGGCGAAGGCGGCUUCUGGGUCUUAACCUGACGCUGGAGGAACGAAAGCUAGGGGAGCGAACGGGA
rnacentral:rRNA from 1 species